AAUUCACGUCCCAUUAUUUUGUAUUUUGUUAGCCUUUUUAUUUUGUGUAUAGGGACAAGAAAAAGCAUUAAGCAAGACAUAUGUAUCUCUAAAAUAUUUUAAAUUAUCAGGCACGGGGUGCAUAGUUCAUAACACCCGAGGUAUAACGACUAUGGUUGCCUUUGCACGCGAGGAUAAAUAACUUAUAGCCCCCACUGAAUAUACAGGAUCGCUGGUUGGGUUAUAUGACUCCGUGCUGAUCCGACUUCAUAU